AGAGUUUGAUCCUGGCUCAGGAUAAACGCUGGCGGCGUGCCUAACACAUGCAAGUCGAACGAAGAGGCUCCCUUCGGGGAGCACUUCAGUGGCGUACUGGUGAGUAACACGUAGGUGACCUGCCCCGAAGCAGGGAAUAACGGCUCGAAAGGGCCGCUAAUACCCAAAAGGAUCGCGAAUCAAAUCGCGCUCAGAGCUACGGCGUUUCGGGAGGGGCCUGCGGCCCAUCAGCUAGUUGGUAGGGUAAUGGCCUACCAAGGCGACGACGGGUAGGGGGCCUGAGAAGGUGGUCCCCCACACUGGCACUGACACACGGGCCAGACUCCUACGGGAGGCAGCAGUGAGGAAUAUUGCACAAUGGGCGAAAGCCUGAUGCAGCAACGCCGCGUGGGUGAUGAAGGCCUUCGGGUCGUAAAACCCUUUUCUGGGGAAAGAGAGAGGACGGUACCCCAGGAAUAAGGUUCGGCUAACUACGUGCCAGCAGCCGCGGUAAAACGUAGGAACCGAGCGUUAUCCGGAUUCAUUGGGCGUAAAGCGCCUGCAGGCGGUCUUGUAAGUUGGACGUGAAAUCUCUCGGCUCAACUGGGAGGUGCCGUUCAAUACUGCAGGACUUGAGGGCAGAAGAGGGAAGCGGAAUUCCCGGUGUAGUGGUGAAAUGCGUAGAUAUCGGGAGGAACACCAGUGGCGAAGGCGGCUUCCUGGUCUGCACCUGACGCUAAGAGGCGAAAGCUAGGGUAGCGAACGGGAUUAGAAACCCCGGUAGUCCUAGCCGUAAACGAUGGACGCUAGGUGUAGGUGGUCCUAACCCCAUCUGUGCCGAAGCUAACGCGUUAAGCGUCCCGCCUGGGGACUACGACCGCAAGGUUAAAACUCAAAGGAAUUGACGGGGCCCCGCACAAGCAGCGGAGCGUGUGGUUUAAUUCGAUGCUACACGAAGAACCUUACCCAGGUUUGACAUGCAAGUAGUAGUGAAACGAAAGUGGAACGACCCCUCGGGGAGCUUGCACAGGUGCUGCAUGGCUGUCGUCAGCUCGUGCCGUGAGGUGUUGGGUUAAGUCCCCUAACGAGCGCAACCCUCGCCGUCAGUUACAAGUAUCCGACGGGACUGCCGGCCUCAAGCCGGAGGAAGGUGGGGAUGAUGUCAAGUCAGCAUGGCCUUUAUGCCUGGGGCUACACACACGCUACAAUGGCCGGUACAAUGGGUUGCCAACCCGCGAGGGGGAGCCAAUCCCACAAAGCCGGUCUCAGUUCGGAUUGGAGGCUGCAACCCGCCUCCAUGAAGCUGGAGUUGCUAGUAAACGCGCGUCAGCCAUAGUGCGUUGAAUACGUUCCCGGGGCUUGUACACACCGCCCGUCACGUCAUGGAAGCUGGCAACACCUGAAGCCGGUGAGCUAACCGCAAGGAGGCAGCCGUCGAGGGUGGGGCUGGUGACUGGGACGAAGUCGUAACAAGGUAACC
rnacentral:rRNA from 1 species